UACGGAGGGGACUAGCGUUGUUCGGAAUUACUGGGCGUAAAGCGCACGUAGGCGGAUUGUUAAGUCAGGGGUGAAAUCCCGAGGCUCAACCUCGGAACUGCCUUUGAUACUGGCAAUCUCGAGUCCGGAAGAGGUGAGUGGAAUUCCUAGUGUAGAGGUGAAAUUCGUAGAUAUUAGGAAGAACACCAGUGGCGAAGGCGGCUCACUGGCCCGGUACCGACGCUGAGGCGCGAAAGCGUGGGGAGCAAACAGG
rnacentral:rRNA from 1 species